UACGUAGGUGGCAAGCGUUGUCCGGAUUUACUGGGCGUAAAGAGCGCGCAGGCGGUCGUAUAAGUCGGAUGUGAAAGCCCCCGGCUCAACUGGGGAGGGUCAUUCGAUACUGGUCGACUCGAAGGCAGGAGAGGGAAGUGGAAUUCCGGGUGUAGUGGUGAAAUGCGUAGAUAUCAGGAGGAACACCGGUGGCGAAGGCGGGUCUCUGGGCCGAUACUGACGCUGAGGAGCGAAAGCGUGGGGAGCGAACAGG
rnacentral:rRNA from 1 species